GUUCCCCUAGCUCAAUUGGUUAGAGCACCUGACUCAUAAUCAGGCGGUUAUCGGUUCAAUCCCGGUGGGGAACA
rnacentral:tRNA from 1 species